CCGGGCGCCGCGUUCGGGCCCGGUGGGUCAUGGAGAACGCCGGCUCUUUUGCUACCGGCGUAGCUCAUGCCCAGAUCGCUCAACAGAGGAUUUGGAAAAAUGAGAA
rnacentral:sRNA from 1 species